AGUAGCUCAGCUGGUUAGAGCAUCUGACUGUUAAUCAGAGGGUCGUUGGUUCGAGCCCAACC
rnacentral:tRNA from 1 species